CAGGAAGAAGCUAUAUUGCCCAUAGGACACUGGAGGAAGCCUGAAUUCUUUUCUAUUCAAAGAAAAAACAUCAAAAGGAAAAUGAUGUUCAAGUUAUCACUCAUUAGCCUGUUUCUCCUGUUUGUUGUUAAAACUUAUGGGACAACUAUACCACCGAUCACCUCAAGUUCUAUGGCAGUCUCAAGCCCCAGGACAAGUCUGGAUUCUAACACAACCCUGAAUUCCAAGACAACCCUAUAUUCCAACACAACCCCAAACUCCAAAAUGACCCCAAAUUCCAAGACAACCUCAAAUUUCAAGACUACUGCAAAUCUCCAAAUAACCUCAAAUGGCAAGAUUACUUCAAAUCCCAAGAUAACUACAAAAACAGUAAUGACCCCACAGGUACUCACAACCAUGAAUAUGACAACUAAGAAAAGUGGUGGCACCAAACUGAAUCCAAUGGACAAUACUGACUUUCUUUUGUACAUAAUAUUUUUGCUAUACUGUGUGCACUCGGGCUGAAGUGGAGUUAACUGUCUAUAUUUCUGUCUUAAGUUCAUUACUAUCUGUUGACUACAACAACACACUAGGAAAAUCAAUUUAUUUCCAUUUACUUCUUAGGAAAUUAUUAUUAUCCUAGCUUAAUUUGGUUGUUUGCAAAUUUUAAUUGUGUAAGUUUAAUUAAUAUUUUAAUGAUUGUUUCCUUCCUUACAAAUGCUAAAACAAGCAAAGUACUGCAUAUUUGCCCUUUAAAUGUUUGCAAACUUGAAUUGAAACUCAGAUUGUUACAUUAAAGAUAUAAGAGAAGAAAUUAUGUUGGAGACAUUUAACCGAAGUAUUGCCUCUGUGUGUGUAUGUGAGAGAGAGGGACAGAGAGUAGGGAAUGGGGUAUAAGGAGUGAUAUGUGUUGUUCUUAUUUUAUUUUUUAUUAAAUAGACAAAAAAGUGCUAAUCUGGUAAGGAGAAACUACAGUGCUCUAUAGGACAAUACACCUAUUUGUGUCACCGUAUUUCAUGAAUGUGCAAUAGUAAUAUGUUGUCAUAGUAAAAAAGGUGCCAAUUCUGCUAUCCUUGGAAAUACAUGAUACAGCUGCUCCAAUGU